UGUUGUAGUGUUAUAUCCGUAAACGAAUGUUAAUAACUGGUUUACUAUACUGUCAUAGAGUUGAGCCGCCAGACUUAAAAUUGUCAAAAAAUACCUGCAUUAUCUUGGUAUUAUCGAGACUUGCUCUAUCAGUUUUUAGAUUUGUCGCUUUCUGCUUGUAAGGGCAACAGCUGUAAUUCAAAUUUCGUCAACAUUUGAACGACAAGAAUAUCAAUACUGAAUAGAUGAACGUGUUUCAACUCAUAGAGAAGCAGUGGACCAAACUGACUAUCGACCAUGUGAACGUGCUCAUUUCUUUCUGCUCGUUCCUCAAGGCUUUCAAAAAAAGCUAUCAGUUAUCAAUACAAAUUUUAAAGCAGAGAUUCUUGUCGUUAUGUUCACAAUCAUUUGAAUGACAUACAUGUGACAAGAAAGUACUCCUGUCCUGUUCUGAGAAUUUAGCAAAUGACAUACAUGUGACAAGAAAGUACGCCUGUCCUGUUCUGAGAAUUUAGCAAAUGACA